rnacentral:rRNA from 1 species
UACGGAGGAUGCAAGCGUUAUCCGGAUUUAUUGGGUUUAAAGGGUGCGUAGGCGGCCGAGUAAGUCAGCGGAGAAAUUUUGCAGCUUAACUGUAACAGUGCCGUUGAUACUGGGGAGCUAGGAUUUGGUUGCUGUGGGUGGAGUGUGUGGUGUAGCGGUGAAAUGCUUAGAGAUCACACAGAAUAUCGAUUGCGAAGGCAGCUCACAAAGCCAAGAUUGACGCUGAGGCACGAAAGUGUGGGGAUCAAACAGGA